rnacentral:rRNA from 1 species
UACGUAGGGUGCAAGCGUUAAUCGGAAUUACUGGGCGUAAAGCGUGCGCAGGCGGUUCGCUAAGACCGAUGUGAAAUCCCCGGGCUCAACCUGGGAACUGCAUUUGUGACUGUAGAGCUGGAGUACGGUAGAGGGGGAUGGAAUUCCGCGUGUAGCAGUGAAAUGCGUAGAUAUGCGGAGGAACACCGAUGGCGAAGGCAAUCCCCUGGACCUGUACUGACGCUCAUGCACGAAAGCGUGGGGAGCAAACAGG